GAUUACUUUGCCUGAAAAGUUGCACAAUAUGGCAUUAAACCUGUCCAUCUUUUCUUUAAUUAUAGACAUUUUCAUUGGAAAAAAAAAAUUUAAAAAUAUUGAUUUAGUAAAGUCACCUGUUCGUCUCCAUGGAGAUAGCUUUAAGUUUUAUGACAUUUUAUUAUAAUAAUGCAUUAGUCUGGUAGUGGUAAGCCACAGCUGCCCUGGGACAGACUGACAGAAGCGAGGCUGCCAGUCAGCCCCUCCGACCACCACCAGGACUCACGCACACACCACUUUCAUACUAGGCAAUGUGGGUGAAGUGUCUUGCCAAAGGACACAAUAGUUUACCACAAUCGCCCCACUGUGGCACCUGGUAUUUCCAGCGUUCUCCCAUCCAAGUGCUGACCAGGCCCAGCCCUGCUUAGCUUCUCAGAUCUGACAGAAGUUUGACCACUUGGUGGAACAUUGUAGGCAAAAUGACAACAUCUCCAUGGAGACCAGAAGGAUUUAGAUCUUCUAAAAAUGUACAUUCCUUUCACAUUUUAUGACGCCCUAUGGAACUUAAACGAACAAUCGUAAACGAUUCGUCACCUGCUUGUCUCCAUUUAGAUGUGAUUACUUUGGCUGGAAUGUUCCACAGUAUGGCAUUUAUCUCAUCUAUCAUGCACUGUUCAAUUACAAGAGUUCUUUUUGUUCAAAAAAAUACAAUUCAUACUGACAGUGGGCUCGCCUCUCCACAGAUCUGACCUGUAAAACUUGGCCUGGUAUCAUGACCUGCUUGUCUCCAGAUAAAGGAGGACACUCCAAAGUAAUAACAUCUCUAUGGACAUGAGCAGGUGACAAGAAAAGUGACAUAAUAGAGCUUUAAAUCAUAUCUAUACAAAAUGCUAAAAGAAAUGAUGUUCAAGCCAUAGACUGUAUAAAGAAGUGGACUAAGUGAGUGUGACGUCACCCACAGCUUUCGACUCCAGUCAAAUGAAGCUCAUUGAGGCUAGAGCAGUUAUAGCGGCUCAUCUGGAGCCGAGUUCCACAUAUGGAAUUCAGAACGGAAGUAUCAUAGCAACGAAAGAGCCAGUCUGGCAUGAAGCUGUUAAAGGUAACGCCCCCUUCCACACCGCUGGUCUGGCAUGGAGUGUGUGCUUAGCCAUGCUGUCAAUCAGACCUGUUGCUAACGCUAGCAGGAGUGACCUCGACGAAAGAAGGCGCCUGAUUUGUUUGUUAAUAAUGUUCAUAUCUUGUUUACAGACACAAUAGUGAAAUAAAAACCUGAAGAUCAUGUAGAGGGAUUUAAUACGAACAUUUAAGACCAAAAUGACGAGUCUGACAGCAGCAGUUACAGAGAGAGGGGACACAGUUUUUCAAGGUAAAGUGAAUUGGAGCCAGAAACACAUCCAUAGUCACUUCCUAUUUGGAACGCGGUGGCUAGCAGGUUAGCUAUGUCCAUUUAUAUGUACAGUCUAUGGUUCAAACUGAAGAUAUUCUCCCCUUAACAGUUUGUGACACAGCUGAACCUGGUUUUAUUUUUUGACGUUCUGCAGCAGCCUCUCUCCUCUGUGCUCUUUUAUUAAUAUGGUGCUAAUAUUAAAUACAUUUAUAUGGACCGAACGCAAAUGUUCACCACAAGAAUUCUACUAUAUAAAGUCAACGUGGCCAUUAACUACAGCUGGAAAGUCUCAAAACAGAUGCACAAGUUUUGACCAUCCUGUGGCUGUCUGUACAUGAAGAGCAAAAGUUAGCAGUUAGCGCAGCUUUCUGACAGCUAUACGAUGUUUCAGUGUGUGCUGGGGGUGUGUUGGUCUUCCGUGCCUGUAAAAUAAGGUCUUAUAAAAAACAUGUUUAAUCCAGUGUGACCCAGAGGUUUAAAGGGGCACUAUGUCACUUUUCUGGUAAGGGGUCCCCCACUUGCUUGUCUCCAUGGACAUGUUAUUGCUUCGCUUGGAAUAUUCCACAGUAUUAAACUUCUAUUCCAUACUGUGUAACUUCUAAACUUCUAUUUCCAUAGAGACAACCAAGUGAUCAGGCCAAGUUACAGGUCAGAUCUGUGAAGAGGCAACCCCGCUCACACAAUUGAAUAAAUGUAAAUAAGAUGUUUAAUGAUAUAUUGUGGGACAUUUUAGCUAACGCAAUAACAUCUCCAUGGGGAAAAGCAAAUGACAGACAUCAGAAAAGUUACAUAGUACACCUUUAAGAUUUUGGAUCACGACCAAAGACCUGAAAUCCAGUCUGGUUCACAUUCGGGUUAAAGAUAUUCUCCUAACUGUUGUAAAUGCCGCCAAAUACUUGUACAUAUCGUAUUGUGAAAUUAUAAUGAGUAUUGUCUUGCUCUAAAACGAUUAUAUGAAGUAUUUAUUCUAAAGGCUAUAUAUUUUUUACCAUAUAUACAAACAGUACACUAAACCUAUGUAUGCAUGGACUAAUGUUUUGUGGUGACAGAUGGAGCAGAGGGUGACUGACAAAAUGGCUGAAUGUUUCCUUAACAUGGUGUAUCGUGGACUGUCACUGUGCCCAUAUAAAGACUGUGGUUUGUAUAUGAGGAGGAGGAGAAGGCCGAGCACAUGAACCAACACAGGCUUAAACUAAAGGUGCAGUGUUCCUCCUCUAAACUGUGUAGUGUUUAACAGACCUCUGUAAUGUUCCUGUACUAUGGG
ensembl:lncRNA